GCCCGGAUGGUGAAAUUGGUAGACACCGCGGACUUAAAAUCCGCUGCGCCCUAAUCGGCGCGUGCCGGUUCGAUCCCGGCUCCGGGCA
rfam:Ralstonia pickettii 12J chromosome 1, complete sequence.